UACGAAGGGGGCUAGCGUUGUUCGGAAUUACUGGGCGUAAAGGGCGCGUAGGCGGCCGAGCAAGUUAGAUGUGAAAGUCCUGGGCUUAACCUGGGGACUGCAUUUGAUACUGCUUGGCUUGAAUUCGGGAGAGGAUAGCGGAAUUCCCAGUGUAGAGGUGAAAUUCGUAGAUAUUGGGAAGAACACCGGUGGCGAAGGCGGCUAUCUGGACGGUUUCUGACGCUAAGACGCGAAAGCGUGGGGAGCAAACAGG
rnacentral:rRNA from 1 species